CGCAGUUAUAGUUUUGUUUUAAAUGAUUGCAGUGAAUGCAAUACAUUCUUUCAGAACAUCCCAGCAUCGAUGUUCUAAGAUUGUUUAAAGAUUAUUUUCUCCAAUUUUCUCUUGUAUGGAUGGGGCAAAGUACCCGUGUUUGGCAAACAUUUUCUUUCUGUUGAGGAACCUAUUUCCAAUCUAAAGCAUUGUCUUCAUCCCAGCAC
rnacentral:lncRNA from 1 species